ACAAAUUAGUGCACAAUAAAGUUGUUUGGACUACUGUCCUACGUUGCGUACGCUGGUUGACUCACUCCAGACAGCUAUUUAUUGCUUUUGCAUUGCGCAACUACUUCUCAUUUAUUCAUGCGCGCCUGCAGUUAAAGUGACUGUCGCCAACCAAGUGAACACACACAUCUACAUGUAUAUGUAUAAGAGUGUGUGCUUGUUUGUGUGUCGUCUAUAAAGCAUUCAUGCAAAUAAUAAAUGCCCUAGCGUGCACGGACGCAUGCAUGUAACUAGUUGAGUGUCUGUGUGUACGUACCUACAUAGGUGUAUGCGCGUAUCCUUCGAACAUUGACACGUAUGUGGCAGUGUAUAAAUCACUGUAGACGCUUUCAAGUACAAAGCGCUAAGCACAACGCCCAAGUGAGUGAGUGAAUUGAGUGCCAAGUGUUAAGUGCAGCAGACAAAGCAGAUUAAAGUGAACGUUGCCGUGAAAGGCAUUGAAGCUGAACAUUUAAGUUGAAUAGCAAGCGACUUUGCAUAAAUCAUGAACCAGUGCGUGUACUAGGUGUAUUGAAUAUUUAAAUCGUUUAUACAUAUUUCGUGAGCAUACUUAAUUGGCCUCUGCAUGCAGUGCAGUGAAGAGUGAAAGGUGAUACAAAGAGCACCCAUAAAACAAUGUCAUGUGAAAACUUAAUGGUAAAAAGGAAUGGUGCACAAGUACAGGUAACAAAUGCAGUAUUUAAAACGAAAGCAACGACAAUACAAUUGCAACAACAAGUGCUUUAAAAUCUGUUGAAGCAAAGGGAAACGAAACGAAAACGUCAUUGCAUUUGUUGGGCACUAAAACAGUGGGGCAUAACCAGUAACGGAAGUAAAUCAACCAGAGUGAGAGAGAUAAAGAGAGAGUGGUUCAGUGCGCCGGGUGAGAGAGGUGGAAGUUAGAACGAAGUGAGGUGCAGCAGAGCGCCAACUAGUCGGCGGACAGCGGAACAACAGGAAGUGUGAGAAAACAGGAAGUGCUGAAAUAGCAAAAACACGCAGCUGAAGCAGCAGCAACUAGAAAAUAAUAAAAAAAA